rnacentral:rRNA from 1 species
AUGAACACUGGCGGCGUGCCUCAUACAUGCAAGUCGCGCGAACAGACGAGGAGCUUGCUCCUCUGACGUUAGCGGCGGACGGGUGAGUAACACGUGGAUAACCUACCUAUAAGACUGGGAUAACUUCGGGAAACCGGAGCUAAUACCGGAUAAUAUAUUGAACCGCAUGGUUCAAUAGUGAAAGACGGUUUUGCUGUCACUUAUAGAUGGAUCCGCGCCGCAUUAGCUAGUUGGUAAGGUAACGGCUUACCAAGGCAACGAUGCGUAGCCGACCUGAGAGGGUGAUCGGCCACACUGGAACUGAGACACGGUCCAGACUCCUACGGGAGGCAGCAGUAGGGAAUCUUCCGCAAUGGGCGAAAGCCUGACGGAGCAACGCCGCGUGAGUGAUGAAGGUCUUCGGAUCGUAAAACUCUGUUAUUAGGGAAGAACAAAUGUGUAAGUAACUAUGCACGUCUUGACGGUACCUAAUCAGAAAGCCACGGCUAACUACGUG